rnacentral:rRNA from 1 species
GAUAUAAGUAGAGCGGCGGACGGGUGAGUAACGCGUAGGAAUCUACCUAGUAGAAGGGGAUAGCCCGGGGAAACUCGGAUUAAUACCGUAUACCUCCUUCGGGAGAAAGAAGGCCUCUCUUUGAUGCUUUCGCUAUUAGAUGAGCCUGCGUAAGAUUAGCUUGUUGGUGAGGUAAAGGCUCACCAAGGCGACGAUCUUUAGCUGGUCUGAGAGGACGAUCAGCCACAUUGGGACUGAGACACGGCCCAGACUCCUACGGGAGGCAGCAGUGGGGAAUAUUGGACAAUGGGCGCAAGCCUGAUCCAGCCAUACCGCGUGUGUGAAGAAGGCCUUCGGGUUGUAAAGCACUUUAAGCAGGGAGAAAAAGCUAUAAGUUAAUACCUUAUAGCCGUGAUGUUACCUGCAGAAUAAGCACCGGCUAAUUCCGUGCCAGCAGCCGCGGUAAUACGGAAGGUGCAAGCGUUAAUCGGAAUUACUGGGCGUAAAGCGCGCGUAGGUGGUUUGUUAAGUUGGAUGUGAAAGCCCUGGGCUCAACCUAGGAACUGCAUCCAAAACUAACUCACUAGAGUACGAUAGAGGGAGGUAGAAUUCAUAGUGUAGCGGUGGAAUGCGUAGAUAUUAUGAAGAAUACCAGUGGCGAAGGCGGCCUCCUGGAUCUGUACUGACACUGAGGUGCGAAAGCGUGGGUAGCGAACGGGAUUAGAUACCCUGGUAG